CCUACGGGGGGCUGCAGUGGGGAAUAUUGGACAAUGGGGGGAACCCUGAUCCAGCCAUGCCGCGUGUGUGAAGAAGGCCCUCGGGUUGUAAAGCACUUUCAGUGAGGAAGAACGCCUGGUGGUUAAUACCCAUCAGGAAAGACAUCACUCACAGAAGAAGCACCGGCUAACUCCGUGCCAGCAGCCGCGGUAAUACGGAGGGUGCGAUCGUUAAUCGGAAUUACUGGGCGUAAAGCGCGCGUAGGUGGCUUGAUAAGCCGGUUGUGAAAGCCCCGGGCUCAACCUGGGAACGGCAUCCGGAACUGUCAAGCUAGAGUGCAGGAGAGGAAGGUAGAAUUCCCGGUGUAGCGGUGAAAUGCGUAGAGAUCGGGAGGAAUACCAGUGGCGAAGGCGGCCUUCUGGACUGACACUGACACUGAGGUGCGAAAGCGUGGGUAGCAAACAGGAUUAGAUACCCUAGUAGUC
rnacentral:rRNA from 1 species